rnacentral:rRNA from 1 species
UAGUCAUAUGCUUGUCUCAAAGAUUAAGCCAUGCAUGUCUAAGUAUAAACAACUUUAUACUGUGAAACUGCGUACAGCUCAUUAAAUCAGUAAUAAUUUAUUUGAUGGUCUCUUCUACAUGGAUAACCGUAGUAAUUCUAGAGCUAAUACAUGCGUAAAGUCCCGACUCGCGAGGGGAGGGAUGUAUUUAUUAGUUAAAAAACCAAUGCGAACCUCUGGUUCGGUCAUCUUGGUGAGUCAUAGUAACUGUUCGAAGCGCAUGGGCUCGUCCCGGCG